UAAAAAUCAUUUAGACAAAACUCACGCUUUCUCUAAAACUCACGCUUUCUCUAGAACUCACGAACGUAACUCAACUUUCUCUGCUGAAGAACGUAACUAACCUUUCUAUGGAACUCAUCGAGCUGAAGAUCGAGCUAAAGAACGUCACUCACCUUUCUCUUCUCUGAUUUUGUCAAGCAUUUCUCGUUGAAGAACUUGAUUUGAGACAGAUUUAGGGCGGAAGAGCUGAAGAUAAUCUCCCUGAAGAAUACGAUUUCCAUAAUAGUUCUUGUUGAAGAACACGAUUUUAUUGGAAUAGGGUUUACCGUGUAAGAAUUCUAUCUUUGUAUGUCUUAAUUUUAGCUUUACGAUUUUGAUGUUCUUGUGUUUUUAUACAAUUUUUGGGAGUCUAGCUCGUAAUAUAGCUUUAUUAGUUGCUUUCUGCGUGCCCUGAGCCUUAAUAACGAAAUAAGCAUAAAUGAGUUGAUUCUUCACUUGAAAAUGUCUUUUUCUUAGGCUUAUAAGUUGAUUAAGGCUUAAAUCGUCCAUGAUAGUUUACGACGUUUGAGCUUAUGUAAUCGAUUUUGAACUCUUACAAUGGAUAUGCUUUGAGUUCAAACAUGUUCUACCAAAUACAUUAAAUGAUAAAAUCAAAAAUUCAAUUCAUGACUUAGCCGAGGGAACCACAAGAUGCAUUGUACAUAAUCCUGCAGCUUCAUCCAUCCACUAGUUUAGUGAAUAAAUGAAAAAAGAAGGAGUGGCUAAAAUUUAACCACUGGAUGGGGAAUGGGGAUGUGUUUUUGUGUUUUUGUUUUUGUUCCUGUACAACGAGUUGAAGUUUGUGUGUCAAUAUUAAAAUAGUUUCUAGUUCUGGAUUUUGUGUCGUACUGGUUUUUGUAGGCUCAAACUAAUAGUAAUGGAGUUAAACUUCUGUGCACAGACAUGUAAAUUGCUAAUAAGCUCAACAAAACAUGUAAAUUGCAAUCUAGUUACUCCCCUGCUUGCUGCCUCCUGCCUCCUACCAACAUAGGUACUAGAUAUCAAUUUUAGUCGAUUCUUUAAAA